GCUAGCAAACAUAAGUUUAAAUGUUCAUGCAUUAUGUUUUAAUUUUAUGGAAAAUCAUUUUGAAAUACUGUGGCUUCUUGUCAUGAAUCUGGCUGCCCCCAUGUCUGGAGUUUUAUUUUGUUUGUCUGAUCUUUUGACAUCAUCCUUUCUUUUUUCUAGGGAGGGAAAGAGUUGUCAACAUAUGAUUUUAUGUUUUUGUAUUACAUUGAAAAAUAACUUUGGUGCCUAUUAUCCAGCUGUUUGCUGAGAACAGGUGAGCACCAUACUUGAGGCUGGCUGGGCGCAGCUCACUGGGCAGGGAGCCCAGGCUG
rnacentral:lncRNA from 1 species